UCUCGUCUUUGCGUUCGAUUCGAACCCUAGGCACAUUGAAUCAAUCAUUCGGAGUCUCUCUUGGAUCUUCAAUCAACUUAUACAUACACAGAAGAACAGAGAGAUAGAUAAUAGAGAGGCAGAGAGAGAGAGAGAGAUUGUAAGCUAAUGGCGGAACACUCUGUUUUAGACCAGCUCCUCGAUAGCGCUUUGGAUGAUUUCCAAAAUCUCCAAUCUUACUUCUUCUGUUCAAACUCAAAGGAGUGGAGAUGGCGAAAUGAAGAAACAUGAGAGUUGUAUUAUGCCUAGUAGUGAGGUUCAAGGCUUGGGUAUGGGUUUGCCUGACUUGAGAAGUAAGAAAAAGGGCAAGCAAAAGGUUUCCAAAGAAUCUCAUGUUUUGGAAGCUCUUGAUAAGCUUAGAGAGCAGACUAGGGAGGCUGUCAGGGGACUCGAGUUUGUCACGGGCUCGAAACCCCUUGCAGACGAUUUCGGAAAGGAUCCAAUGAUGGAGGAUUAGGUUAAGCAGUUUGAGGAGCUUGCUGGGUCUCAGAUCAAAUUCAUUUUGAGGUGUGGGUCAUAUGACAUGAGAUUUAAAUCUUUGCCACAUAUUGCCGCAUAAACACUUCGACAUUUUGAUCAAGAGGAGUGGGGAUGAUGAUUUAUUCAAUUGGUAGUGUUUCUUCGGUAUCAAUGCAUCAAGGACGAUGAUUUAAUUGGUAGUGACGAUGAUUUAAUCCCACUUGAAAAGCAAAACCUUCCAGUGUGCAAACAUGCAGAACAUUGAUUAUCCUUUCUGGGGAGGCAACAGACCAGACUACUGUGGUCAUCCGGGCUUCCGACGCGCAGAAUCUGACUCUGUUUUUUGGCUGUAGCCAAAUUCCAGUUCUACAACUGGACAGUUCUAGGCAGUUCAACUACAGUGUUA